GACGAACGCUGGCGGCGUGCUUAACACAUGCAAGUCGAACGGUAAGGCUCCAGCUUGCUGGGGUACACGAGUGGCGAACGGGUGAGUAACACGUGGGUGACCUGCCCUGCACUUCGGGAUAAGCCUGGGAAACUGGGUCUAAUACCGGAUAGGACCAUGGUGUGGAUACUGUGGUGGAAAGUUUUUUCGGUGUGGGAUGGGCCCGCGGCCUAUCAGCUUGUGGGUGGGGUAAUGGCCUACCAAGGCGGCGACGCGGAGCCGGCCGGAGAGGGUGAUCGGCCACACUGGAACUGAGAGACGGUGCAGACUCCUACGGGAGGAAGCAGUAGGGAAUGGUCCGCAAUGGGCGGAAGGCUGACGGAGCAACGCCGCGUGAGUGACGAAGGUCUUCGGAUCGUAAAACUCUGUUAUUAGGGAAGAACAAAUGUGGAAGUAACGAUGCUCGUCUUGACGGUACCUAAUCAGAAAGCCACGGCUAACUACGUG
rnacentral:rRNA from 1 species